rnacentral:tRNA from 1 species
GCGGGUGUAACUCAGUGGUAGAGUGCCAGCUUCCCAAGCUGGUAGCGUGGGUUCGAUCCCCAUCACCCGCUCCA